CUGCUGCCUUCCGUAGGAGUUUGGUCCGUGUCUCAGUACCAAUGUGGGGGGUUAACCUCUCAGUCCCCCUAUGUAUCGUCGCCUUGGUGAGCCGUUACCUCACCAACCAGCUAAUACAACGCAUGCCCAUCAUCAACCACCGGAGUUUUCAACCCCAUGCGAUGCCGCAUGAGAUAUUAUGGGGUAUUAGUACCAAUUUCUCAGUGUUAUCCCCCUGUUGAUGGUAGGUUGCAUACGCGUUACGCACCCGUGCGCCCGG
rnacentral:rRNA from 1 species